CAGAUAGGGGUCUUGUCUUUGUGGUCAGUCAAAGUCCGAACACGCGUCGCGUCACCGCUGGUGCUACGACUUCCGAGAAGGGCGCGCGAAGGAGCAGAGUGGCCUCGGGACCCCCGCCGCGGCCUCCGGAGCGGGUGCUAGAGAUGCCGGCUAAAGCCGCCGCGACUACUGGUUGGGGCGCAUGAAGCUCCAGCCGUCUAACAACCCAUUGAUACCGAAGUACUUGUAGUGUUCGAUAAGUAGAAGAGUCAGACCUCCCGAAGGUUUGCUACGACAAUUAGUUCUGGAAUCAGAACCUAUAAGUGGCCUUCUCUAACUCGCUAAUUCUCAGGUUCUACAACCUCUCCCUGUUCACUUUUAAUCUGAAAUGCUCCCUUCUCACCACGUUCCAGGUAACUUCCCGUGUGUUUGACAUAAAUUCCAUAUGGGACCUCGAUAACGACCACGAAGACUUCGAUUAAACUACCGUGACUUACUCGACUCCUGAGUACGAAAAGAAGUCUCACUACGUUCCCUAUAGACACUCUUGUAAGUCAAAGACAAUCCUCGUAAACUCUGUCGAUGACCUCUCGUCACCGAACGAAAGGCACUACUACCCUCUAUGUCACGACGUCUGAUACGUUUUUAUUGGUCACUUUCCGUCAACUUCCUUGCCGGAUUAAAAACCUUAGGGAUACUAGCACGUAUGUUUAACCUUGACUCCUUUAUAAAACAGGAAUCCGACGAAUUACCUCGAUACACACCGGAACAGGUGUACGUGUUAGUACUAUCUGACGUGGUUUCGGAACCGGGGAGAAGACAACAAGAGUUGUGACAACGUCUCUUUUUACCUAUGAUAAAUGAAGGUGUCGAGGCACUAAACCGUAAAAGACAUCUAUAGCCCAUAAGGAGACAACCCCAACCUCGCAACAGUCUACCAGAAACCGCAGCUCGUAGACGACGACCUCGUAGUUGAGGAAACCUCUUCGCUCGAAAACCUCAUCGACUACUGUAUAUACCUCGACCCAACGAAUAACGUAUGUACCGUAAAUAAGGCAAAACGCUUCGUCCGUAGUACCUAUCGUAAAGGAACGUCUCCGAGAACCUCUUGUGAAAGGCAGAGCUGUAAAUACGACGUUCUCUCAUAACGGACCUUCUACUAUUUAACAGCCUUCGACAUUUGAAAGAUCUAAAUCCACUACCACGGCCGACCCUCAACGACGUCCGUUACGAAUUAGGCCUAAUGGCAUUUGCUGGUUAACGACUCCGACAUGACUUGGUAUCCAAAUAAUGUCCCCGAGAUAACAUCUCCAUUAGUAGUUGAUCUACGCGAAUAUUUAAACAUGUUAUCUACCACCUCCGUCCAGGGUAACACACUUUCUUUACAAGUUUAGAUUUCUGUACAACACUAGUCCAUGAAUUUAUCACACAAUCUUUAUGUAUGCACAUCAAUCUCUAUUCCUCUCUACUUCUAUUUUAAUCAAAUUUAUAUAAUACAGAACAGAACAUGAGGUCCAGAGAUGGGAGUACUACAUGACAUAUAUAUGGGGAUAAUCCCAGUCUAGUUAUGUUGUAUGUUGUGGUAUAAGUUGGUAGGAUGUUAAAAACAGCUUUAAUAUCUACUGACUUAUAAAGACACCAAUAACUAGACUGGGAGCAUCCCCAUAUAUAUCUCAUGGUAUACUCCCUCUCUCUGAACCUCAUCUCCUGUUCAGUAUGUACCAAAUUGGAUAGGAUAGAGAUUGAGGAUUAGAGAUUGAAUUUGUAUUAAUGUGAAGAUUGUAUCACAUGGAUUUGAUCUCCUUGUAACAUUUAUAUACGUACUUGUAGUAAAAACCGUUAUGACGAUCUGUACAAAAAC
rnacentral:rRNA from 1 species